AGGAUUCGAUUAUUUUAAGCCUGGACCCCAAUUUCGGAUGGAUGAUCCAGAUUUUGGAUAGAUUACUCGAAUAAGACUGGCUGGAUUGGUAAAUUACAAAAUAUUUUAAGGGUGUAAAUGUAUUUGAACUUUUUUUCGACUUAGAAAAAAUCAUAUGCACUUCACUUUCUUUUUAAACGGGUUAUUGAGAAUUUAGGUCAUCAGAAUCCGAGAACUUAAUUCGCAAUGUUCUUCUGCAGAAAGCUCUGAUCCAGAAUUAGAAAGCCCUGAGGAUCGAGGGACAAAUCGACAAACUAAUUAUAAGUCUCUUAUCUUGGUCAAUAUUUACCAUUUUGUUUUGUAUGUGGUUGUCUUUGUUGUGGGAUUCUUUAACUUUCCGUAGAUUUAAUGGUUUUUUGUAGAGUUCUCUCUAUAUUUGAAGUUAGAUUUUGUUGUAAUGGAAUUUUGAUUGGCAUUGUGAAUUUUUUGUGCAGAAAGCUCGGAUCACGAUUUAGCUUUCACGAAUUUAGAUCGAAGAACAAAUGUAAGUUUCUUCAUCUUUGGUCAAUCUUUCUCAAAAUCGAAGAUCUGCUCCAUAUUUGGUUUACUUUAUUCUGGUUUUCUUGGGUUUUUCUCUGUUUUACGAGUUCCACAUAUUUAACAAUAGUAGAUUCUGGUUACAAUUGAUGUUGAGUUAAAUAACUUGCAAAGUUUUUUCUCUGAAUUUAGUAGUUUUUUUUUUGCUAUUGUUAUGUAUCUCUUUAGAUUUGGAGUCAAACAAUAAAAAAAUUUCUGGUUGUUCUGAUUAGUGUUGUGGUUUUGUUCUGUGCAAUUGUUACUGUAAUUAUCGGUGAAAUAUGGUUUUGAACAACAAUCAUAGUUUGGGAGUUGCAGCUCUCAUCAAUUAUAUACAGGCAAACAACAAAGCAACUGUCGAUGUAGUUGGUAACUCAAGUAACCCAGAAGCUAAACUCAAUGGUUCGCAUAUCAGUAUGGCUGUGGAGGCUAUGAGGUUUGAUUUCACGCGUGAGGGAACUGCCCACUUGUUGGAAGAACAUUCUAAAGAUAAGGAUGUAAUCGGGACAGACCCACUUCUACGAAUGCAAAGGAUAAGACACAAGAUUAGUUGAUCAUAACAAACACAGAAGCCCAACAAGAAGAAGGUGCUAUGGGCCGUCCAAGUGUGAAGCCUACUACGAUGACAAACUCUUCCUAGCUGAAACUAUCCAGCUGUUACCACUAAUGUGCAGCGGUAACUGAGAAAAAAUGACAAAACGCGAAUCCAGUCAAGCUGAACUUCGUACGGGAAAUACACCUCACUGAAUCUUGUUAUGUAACAGAUUUGAUGUCUCGGAUUGUGAGCUCUCAUGUGACAGACAUGAUGCUUGUCACUCCGAUCCUCACCUUUUGCUUUUCUGCUUUUCUCAUUUCUUCUCCGUAUAACCAUUGUAAUGCGCUGGGUUUAAGUUUAAGUAAUAAGGUUGAAUAAAGUUAUUUUCUUCCUUUUGUUUUUCAAACGCUUCCAUGGUAUCAGAGUCUCACGGUUCAAAGAAUUCACAAUGCCAAUCAAAAUUCCACCUAUACUAAAUUCGUGAAUGGUGAAUUUCCCGUACGAAGACCAGCUUGAAUUCCUGUGACUGGAGAUGAAACAGGGG
rnacentral:lncRNA from 1 species